UUAAUUGAAACCAAAAUAGAGGUAUAUUACUGUUAAUGAUAUUAGUGAAUUGAAUUCCAAUUAAA
rnacentral:tRNA from 1 species